rnacentral:rRNA from 1 species
CAGUAGCCACGGUAAUACGUAGGGUGCGAGCGUUAAUCGGAAUUACUGGGCGUAAAGCGUGCGCAGGCGGUUGUGUAAGACAGGUGUGAAAUCCCCGGGCUUAACCUGGGAACUGCGCUUGUGACUGCACGGCUAGAGUAUGGCAGAGGGGGGUGGAAUUCCACGUGUAGCAGUGAAAUGCGUAGAGAUGUGGAGGAACACCGAUGGCGAAGGCAGCCCCCUGGGCCAAUACUGACGCUCAUGCACGAAAGCGUGGGGAGCGAACAGGAUUAGAUACCCCAGUAGUCCCUGUCUCUUAUAC